rnacentral:rRNA from 1 species
UGAGGAAUAUUGGUCAAUGGGCGAGAGCCUGAACCAGCCACGUCGCGUGAAGGAAGACUGACCUUACGGUUUGUAAACUUCUUUUGUAGAGGGGUAAUGGCAGAUACGUGUAUUUGCGUGAAAGUACUCUACGAAUAAGCAUCGGCUAACUCCGUGCCAGCAGCCGCGGUAAUACGGGGGAUGCGAGCGUUAUCCGGAAUUAUUGGGUUUAAAGGGUGCGCAGGUGGCUAAUCAGGUCAGUGGUGAAAAGCUAUGGCUCAACCAUGGUCUUGCCAUUGAAACCGUAUAGCUAGAGAGGAGACGAGGUAGGCGGAAUGUGUGGUGUAGCGGUGAAAUGCAUAGAUAUCACACAGAACUCCGAUUGCGAAGGCAACUUACCAGGCUUUAUCUGACACUUAGGCACGACAGCGUGGGGAUCAAACAGG